rnacentral:rRNA from 1 species
AUUGAACGCUGGCGGCAGGCCUAACACAUGCAAGUCGAGCGGAUGAAGGGAGCUUGCUCCUGGAUUCAGCGGCGGACGGGUGAGUAAUGCCUAGGAAUCUGCCUGGUAGUGGGGGAUAACGUCCGGAAACGGGCGCUAAUACCGCAUACGUCCUGAGGGAGAAAGUGGGGGAUCUUCGGACCUCACGCUAUCAGAUGAGCCUAGGUCGGAUUAGCUAGUUGGUGGGGUAAAGGCCUACCAAGGCGACGAUCCGUAACUGGUCUGAGAGGAUGAUCAGUCACACUGGAGCUGAGACACGGUCCAGACUCCCACGGGAGGCAGCAGUGGGGAAUAUUGGACAAUGGGCGAAAGCCUGAUCCAGCCAUGCCGCGUGUGUGAAGAAGGUCUUCGGAUUGUAAAGCACGUUAAGUUGGGAGGAAGGGCAGUAAGUUAAUACCUUGCUGUUUUGACGUUACCAACAGAAUAAGCACCGGCUAACUUCGUG